AAUCCUAGCUCAGGACGAACGCUGGCGGCGCGCCUAACACAUGCAAGUCGAACGAGCGAGAGAGAGCUUGCUCUCUCAAGCGAGUGGCGAACGGGUGAGUAACGCGUGAGGAACCUGCCUCAAAGAGGGGGACAACAGUUGGAAACGACUGCUAAUACCGCAUAAGCCCACGACCCGGCAUCGGGUUGAGGGAAAAGGAGCAAUCCGCUUUGAGAUGGCCUCGCGUCCGAUUAGCUAGUUGGUG
rnacentral:rRNA from 1 species